rnacentral:rRNA from 1 species
AGAUCGACUAUGUCGGAAUAAAAUUCUAGGUAGAAUUAUGAUAAUGACAUUGUCUGCCUAUGUGUCUUGACCAAAUUACGUGCCAGCAGUCGCGGUAAUACGUAGAAGACUAGUGUUAUUCAUGUUUAAUCGGUUUAAAGGGUACCUAGACGGUUAAUCAAGCUUUCAAUAAAAGAGAAUUAAAGGACUAAUUUACUAGAGUUACUUAUGAGGGGGUUUUAAAGUACUGCUGGUGUAGAGAUGAAAUUCUGUCAUACCUCUUUUCAAAAGAAAAAUCAUGGCACAGGUAUAGGCGAAGGCAUCCCCUUAUGUGAUAACUGACGUUGAGGGACGAAGGCUUUGUAUAGCGAACAGGAUUAGAUACCCCAGUAGUCGAAGCAGAAAAUGAUGAAUGUCAUAGAUUAGAUAUAUAAGUUUAUUCUAUAAAUGAAAGUGUAAGCAUUCCACCUCAUGAGUAAUUUGGCAACAUUGGAACUGAAAUCAUUAGACCGUUUCUGAAACCAGUAGUGAAGUAUGUUGUUUAAUUUGAUGAUCCGCAAAAAACCUUACCACAAUUUGAAUAUUUAUAUUUUUUUUAUUGUUUUCUUAUUAAUUUUCUUUUAACAACAUAAUGUAAACAAUCAAGAUGAAGAAAAGAAGAAAUUUAAUAAAGAGGCAAUAACAUAUAUUUACAAGCGUUGCACGGCUGUCUUCAGUUAAUGUCGCGAGACUUUGGUUAGUUCCAUUAAAUUAAGCGUAAACCCUUAUAUUUUUAGA